rnacentral:tRNA from 1 species
GCCGCGAUGCCACAAUGGUACUGGGCCGAUCUUGAAAAUCGGUGAUCUGUAACAGGACUGAGGGUUCGAAUCCUUCUCGCGGCG